AACACGUGGGUAAUCUGCCCUCGGCACCGGAAUAGCCCGGGGAGAACCCGGAUUAAUGCCGGAUGGCCUCUCGAGCUUUCGGGCUCGCGAGAAAAGGUAGCUUCGGCCUCCGGCCGAGGAUGAGCCUGCGGCCGAUUAGCUUGUUGGUGGGGUAACGGCUCACCAAGGCGACGAUCGGUAGCUGGUCAGAGAGGACGAUCAGCCACACUGGGACUGAGACACGGCCCAGACUCCUACGGGAGGCAGCAGUGGGGAAUCUUGCGCAAUGGGCGAAAGCCUGACGCAGCGACGCCGUGUGCGGGAAGAAGGCCUUCGGGUUGUAAACCGCUUUCAGGAGGGACGAAGCCACUCGGGUGAAUAGCCUAGAGGGUGACGGUACCUCCAGAAGAAGCCCCGGCUAACUACGUGCCAGCAGCCGCGGUAAUACGUAGGGGGCUAGCGUUGUCCGGAUUUAUUGGGCGUAAAGAGCGUGUAGGCGGCCGGGUAAGUCCGGUGUGAAAACUCGAGGCUUAACCUCGAGAUGUCAUCGGAAACUAUUCGGCUAGAGUCCGGAAGAGGAGAGUGGAAUUCCUGGUGUAGCGGUGAAAUGCGCAGAUAUCAGGAAGAACACCUAUGGCGAAAGCAGCUCUCUGGGACGGUACUGACGCUGAGACGCGAAAGCGUGGGGAGCGAACAGGAUUAGAUACCCUGGUAGUCCACGCCGUAAACGAUGGGUGCUAGGUGUGGGCGGUGUCGACUCCGUCCGUGCCGAAGCUAACGCAUUAAGCACCCCGCCUGGGGAGUACGGCCGCAAGGCUAAAACUCAAAGGAAUUGACGGGGGCCCGCACAAGCAGCGGAGCAUGUGGUUCAAUUCGACGCAACGCGAAGAACCUUACCAGGGCUUGACAUGCACGGGAAUGU
rnacentral:rRNA from 1 species